AUUGAACGCUGGCGGCAGGCUUAACACAUGCAAGUCGAGCGGGGGAAGGUAGCUUGCUACCGGACCUAGCGGCGGACGGGUGAGUAAUGCUUAGGAAUCUGCCUAUUAGUGGGGGACAACAUCUCGAAAGGGAUGCUAAUACCGCAUACGUCCUACGGGAGAAAGCAGGGGAUCUUCGGACCUUGCGCUAAUAGAUGAGCCUAAGUCGGAUUAGCUAGUUGGUAGGGUAAAGGCCUACCAAGGCGACGAUCUGUAGCGGGUCUGAGAGGAUGAUCCGCCACACUGGGACUGAGACACGGCCCAGACUCCUACGGGAGGCAGCAGUGGGGAAUAUUGGACAAUGGGGGGAACCCUGAUCCAGCCAUGCCGCGUGUGUGAAGAAGGCCUUAUGGUUGUAAAGCACUUUAAGCGAGGAGGAGGCUACUUUAGUUUAUACCUGGAGAUAGUGGACGUUACUCGCAGAAUAAGCGCCGGCUAACUCUGUGCCAGCCGCCGCCGUAA
rnacentral:rRNA from 1 species